UCAUUUGUCUACUCACGUUUUGCAGAGAUUGACGAGUGUGCCAGCGAGCCGUGUCAGAAUGACGGGAGUUGCAUCGACGCAUUCAAUAGUUUUUCGUGUAACUGCUCAGUUGGCUACACGGGCGACGUAUGUCAGACACGUUGGCUGACACUAGCUGUAUUUGAAGCGUUGAAUGCAAACGUCGCUAUCCUUGAGUCGCAAUUAGCUGAGGCGAACCGCACCAUCCGGGCGAGCCUGAAUACAAACGUCGGCAUCCUUGAGUCGCAAUUAGCUGAGGCGAACCGCACUAUCCGGGCGAGCGUGAAUGGAAACGCAAAUCGCAUAAACAAUUUGGAAGGCCCUGUGUCUACAUUGCAGGAGUUACAACAGUGCAAUCCAGCAUCACUAGGAUUCGCCUAUACAACACAUUACGGAGUUGGAAAUGGAAUCACCCAACUGGCUAGCCUCCGAUUCACGAAGAAACGUGCAUCCACACUUCUACGGAUCACUUACUCAACCACUAUUCGGACUAGUGGAGGGCCUCACGGCUCAGGCUCUCUGUGGUACGCCAAAAUUGACGGUCAACAGUGCACUCGGCCAGCACGUAUAAAUAUUGCUCACUACCGACGUGAACCCGAUCGAGUGUCUAUUCCUGCCUAUUUGGAAGGUCUCUGCGGAGCGACAAGUGCGGGACCAAUCAAGGAAGGCAGUCACGUGAUCACAAUUCACACGGGAGAACUUACGAACGUAGCUGACGCUACCUCGGGCGGCUGGGCGUCACACUCUCUUCUGCAAGUCAAAGAGAUCUGCGACCAAUAAGGAACUUUCGUUACACUGGCAACGUUAGAUCGGAUCAGUGAUUUCCUUCGCUCUCUCUCUCUCUCUCCCCAUCUGGGAUAUUGCAUAAUUAUACAUGUACAUGUACAUAUACAUGUAGUGUCCCUGUUAUUGGUUGACAACAUGUAACAAGGUAGAGACCACAGUGUUCGGAAACAGUGACCUUUCUACAACCAUCCACGGUUGGUAGAGCCCCGGUCUUCACGACCAUCUGAACCGUAUGGGUGUUAGAGCCCGGUUCUGACCCUCUUUAUUCUAGGGGAGUUGUCUAAGUUUUCUUGUUGUUGUACCUUCAGUCGUGUAUUCGUUGUUCGCUCCUGGAUGUCUUCUUGAUAUUCAGUCUUCGCAAAAUUUGUAGCUUCUGUUCUGAAUUGUUAUUCUUCUUUUUCUUUUUAUACUCGUUUUCCAACUUCUACCUCUUCUAUUGUACUGUCACUCUAUACGCAUG